CCUACGGGUGGCAGCAGUGAGGAAUAUUGGUCAAUGGUCGGGAGACUGAACCAGCCAAGCCGCGUGAGGGAUGAAGGUACAGAGUAUCGUAAACCUCUUUUGUCAGGGAACAAAGGCGGGGACGUGUCCCCGGAUGAGUGUACCUGAAGAAAAAGCAUCGGCUAACUCCGUGCCAGCAGCCGCGGUAAUACGGAGGAUGCGAGCGUUAUCCGGAUUUAUUGGGGUUAAAGGGUGCGCAGGGGGUAUGUUAAGUCAGCGGUAAAAGCCCGGGGCCAAACCCCGGCCCGCCGUUGAAACUGGCAGUCUCGAGUUGGAGAGAAGUAUGCGGAAUGCGCGGUGUAGCGGUGAAAUGCAUAGAUAUCGCGCAGAACUCCGAUUGCGAAGGCAGCAUGCCGGCUCCACACUGACGCUGAGGCACGAAAGCGUGGGUAUCGAACAGGAUUAGAUACCCCUGUAGUC
rnacentral:rRNA from 1 species